rnacentral:rRNA from 1 species
AUGCGAUCGCUUGACGUGGCGGGGGCGGAGAGGUCGGAUCAGCAGAACCGCAAGAAGCCGCGCCGCGAGACGGAGAUGCCCCUAGCCGGCUCCAUCGUCGCCGGCAGCAGCGGUGACUGCGGAGGCAUUGAGGAAUCUGGUGGGUGUCUCAGCAUGCGGGUGGAGGAUAUCGUGCAGCACCCCCUGCCUGGCUACGGGGCGCCGGUGGCGCUCAGCUUUAGCCCCGACGACCGGCGAGUGGCCUUCUUGUACAGCCCCGACGGCACGCUCCACCGCAAGGUGUUCACCUUCGACCCCGCCAAGGGCCGCCAGGAGCUGCUCUUCGCUCCCCCUGACGGCGGCGGGCUCGAGGAGAGCAAUCUAUCCGCCGAGGAGCGGCUACGCCGCGAGCGUUCCCGGGAGCGUGGCCUUGGGGUCACUCGGUACGAGUGGCGUGCCCGUCGCUCUGGCGGCCCCUCUUCUCGUGCGGGCAUUGUCGUGCCUCUCCCUUCAGGGGUUUACUUUCAGGACCUGUCUGGCUCUGAACCAGUACUCAAGCUACAAAGUUCUUCCACAUCACCAAUUAUUGACCCACAUCUAUCUCCAGAUGGGACCAUGAUUGCAUAUGUCAGGGAUGAUGAACUGCAGUGCAAGACAUAUAACUUUGGUUUUGAUGAUGGUGAAACUAAGCAAUUGACCUACGGUGCAAGAGAAAGUGGAAAGGUCCAUGGACUUGCUGAGUAUAUUGCUCAGGAAGAGAUGGAAAGGAAGAUGGGAUUCUGGUGGUCUCCUGAUAAUGCUCAAGAAGAUCAUGCUUAUCCAUUUGCUGGAGCAGCUAAUGUUAAAGUGCGACUUGGAGUUGUUUCUUCCGGUGGAGGAGAGGUAACUUGGAUGGAUCUCCUUUGCGGAGAACCAAAUGGAGCACAUGGUGAUGAAGAAUAUCUAGCUAGGGUUAACUGGAUGCAUCAUAAUGCUCUUGCUGUUCAAGUUCUCAAUAGAGCUCACACAAAACUUAAGCUACUUAAGUUUGAUAUUGCCACCGGUAAAAGGGAAGUCUUACUUGAAGAAGAGCAUGAUAUAUGGAUAACAUUGCAUGAUUGUUUCACUCCUCUAGACAAUGGAGUGAGUAGUAAACAUCCAGGUGGGUUUAUUUGGGCCAGUGAGAAGACAGGAUUUAGACACUUGUAUCUUCAUGACAAGAAUGGUGAGUGCUUAGGCCCUAUCACGCAAGGUGACUGGUUGGUCGACCAAAUUGCUGGUGUCAAUGAGAGUUCUGGACUUAUAUAUUUUACUGGAACACUGGAUGGACCAUUGGAGACAAAUCUGUACUGCACCAACCUCUUUCCUGAUUGGAGCCUUCCAUUACAAGCCCCUAAGAGGUUGACUCGUGGAACUGGGCGGCAUUCUGUAAUUCUUGACCAUCAGUUGCUAAGGUUUAUUGAUGUGUAUGACUCAGUAAAAUCACCACCUGUGAUCCUGUUGUGUUCUUUGCUUGAUGGAAGUGUAAUAAUGCCUCUGUAUGAGCAGCCACUAACAGUUCAGCCACUUAAAAAGUUUCAGCAGCUGUCUCCAGAGAUGGUCCAGUUUACAGGGAAGGAUGGGACUUCAUUUUAUGGAACUCUCUAUCUUCCCGAUGAGAAGAAAUAUGGACCGCCUCCCUACAAAACACUUGUUAAUGUUUAUGGUGGUCCCAGUGUCCAGCUCGUUAGUGAUUCAUGGAUUAGCACUGUUGACAUGAGGGCUCAGUAUCUGCGAAGUAAGGGAAUAUUAGUCUGGAAGAUGGACAACCGGGGAUCUGCACGGCGAGGUUUGCAUUUUGAGGGACAGCUUAAGUACAACAUUGGUCGUGUCGAUGCUGAGGAUCAACUAGCUGGUACUGAGUGGUUAAUAAAGCAAGGCCUUGCGAAGCCUGGACAUAUUGGUCUGUAUGGCUGGAGUUACGGUGGUUUUCUCUCGGCGAUGUGCCUAUCAAGGUUUUCCGACACAUUCUGCUGCGCUGUGUCUGGUGCCCCAGUGACUGCAUGGGACGGGUACGAUACCUUUUACACAGAGAAGUACCUGGGUCUGCCCUCAGAGCAUAGUGAUGCUUACGAGUACGGGUCAAUCAUGCACCAUGUGAAGAAUCUCAGGGGGAAGCUGCUCCUCAUCCACGGGAUGAUUGACGAGAACGUGCAUUUUAGGCACACGGCUAGGCUCAUCAACAGUUUGAUGGCGGAACGCAAGUCGUACGAGAUCCUCCUCUUCCCUGACGAGAGGCACAUGCCACGCCAGCUAGACGACCGGAUCUAUAUGGAGGAGAGGAUCUGGGAUUUUGUGGAGAGAAGCCUAUGA